rnacentral:rRNA from 1 species
ACUCCACAGUUAAGCGCGCUUGAGCCAGAGGCGUCUUGGGAUGGGUGACCACCUGGGAAGUCCUGGUUACCGGGUGCA